AACGAACGCUGGCGGCGUGCCUAACACAUGCAAGUCGAACGAGAAAGGGGCUUCGGCUCCGAGUAAAGUGGCGCACGGGUGAGUAACACGUGGGUAACCUGCCUCUAAGAUUGGGAUAACUCGUCGAAAGAUGAGCUAAUACCGAAUAAGACCACAGUUCCCGCGGGAACAGGGGUCAAAGGUAGCCUCUGCUUGCAAGCUAUCACUUAGAGAUGGGCCUGCGCACCAUUAGCUAGUUGGUAGGGUAACGGCCUACCAAGGCAAGGAUGGUUAGCUGGUCUGAGAGGAUGAUCAGCCACACUGGAACUGAGACACGGUCCAGACUCCUACGGGAGGCAGCAGUGGGGAAUAUUGCGCAAUGGGCGAAAGCUUGACGCAGCAACGCCGCGUGAGUGAUGAAGGCCUUCGGGUCGUAAAGCUCUGUCGGGAGGAACGAAUGCUCCUGAGGUUAACAGCCUCGGGAGGUGACGGUACCUUCAAAGGAAGCACCGGCUAACUCUGUG
rnacentral:rRNA from 1 species